rnacentral:misc_RNA from 1 species
AAUGGAUGGGCACAUUGAUGCUGUCUCUUGCAUGGCAAAGAAUCCUAAUCACUUGAAAGGAAUAUUUUCUGGCUCCAUGGACGGUGAUGUUCGCCUAUGGGAUUUGGCUACCAGGCGGACAGUACGUCAGUUUCCUGGUCACCAGGGUGCAGUACGUGGUUUGACAGUGUCCACGGAUGGCCGAAUUCUUGUAUCAUGUGGAACUGAUUGCACUGUUAGGCUCUGGAAAGUUCCUGUUGCUACUCUAAUGGAGUCUGAUGAUGGAUCUGAUAACUCGUCCCAGCCAUUGGCUGUUCAUGUUUGGAAGAAUGCAUUCUGGGGUGUUGACCACCAAUGGGAUGGUGAUCUCUUUGCCACAGCUGGUGCUCAA